GAGAGACUGAGUCUGAGGUCUGACUGCUCUCUGAACAUCAAGAAAGUCAAGAUUAUGGGCUUUACACCUGCCGACAAUAUGUGAAUGGACAACAGCAAUGGUGCACUUGUUUAUCUGCAUGAUUUUUAUGUCUCUUCAUCAUCCUCAAAGACUGAGAUCAAACCAGGCAGCUCUGUGACUCUCUUCUGCCAGUUAAAUUCAUAUAAUGAUUUUCCUUGUGAAACUUUGAUCCAUAUUGAGGGAAUUCAGCUGAUCUGGGUGAAUCAUGCUGGUGUUAGUGUGAUGACAGACUCCAGAUAUCAGAUAUCAUUCUCCUCAACACACUGUAACAGCACUCUGACUACAAAACUCCUGAAUGAAGAUCACAACAGAGAGUGGAGAUGUCAGCUCAAGAUGAUCCGAUGACACCAGUGAUUCCAGUCCACACCACAAACUCUGAGGAUCCCUUGACUAGAAUCACAUCAAAAAGGCCAAUACAAGGUAAUCACUGUCUUUCUCACAUCAGUGGUUUGCAGUUGCUCUCACAAUCACAUACAGUUUUCUUGUAAAAGCGGUCUCAAAAUAGAACUGAUUUCUCUCUGUUUCUCUCCAAACUUCAAAUGGAGACACAUCAGAGAGUCCAGCAGAUCACAAUCUUUCUUGACUGUGAUUGUUGUUGUAGUUACUGCAUCAGCUGUUUUCCUUGCUGUUAUUCUUUGAGUGAUUUGUAAAAAAGGAGCUGUGAUGUGCUGUCAUACAGCGUUGAAGGGAAAGGAUAUCUCCCUUGUUUGAUCUAUGGUGUGUUUGCAAGGGUUCUUUAGGAAUAUGAGAGGCAUUUGGCCAUGUCAAAGGAACAGGCACCAGGAAGAAUCAACAGCCACCUGGAUGAGUAUUGGCCUUGUGGGAUUUCUAACUCAGCUUUGACCCUUGAGAUAGCUGCUUACGAAUGAGAACUGAACUUCACAGAUAUUGUCUUUAAAUAACUACAUUUGUGUAAAGAACCGAACACCAUGUUCAAAUGUUAACAAGAUAAUCGGAACCUGUUUUUGUUGUUGUUUUAAGAGUAUGUUAACACACUACACGCCUAUAGACUGAACACGAAAUACGCAUGCACAUGACAUUACAGGUUUCACAAAUUCACAUUUUUGUAGUUUACACAGAGACGAUUAUGGUAUAGUUUUCAAAAACGUGCACUUUCAGGCCCCCAAAACACCAUUGUUGUGUAAAUGAACGGCCAAAACGCAUAAAUAGUUUUCAUUUUUUUUAGCUGAAAAAUGUAAAUUGUUAUGUAAACAGCCCCUUAGUUCAAGGCUGAAUCUACUUACUCAUUUUUUAUAGCCUUUGGAAGUGUGGAGAACUCUGUCUUCAGUAAACUUUGUCAACUAAUGGAACUUCAAAUUUGACUCCUGGUCUUCACUGAACAUAUUAGUCUCACUUUGUGCCCCAAAAUGUUUUGUUUGUUUACAAGGGCCUACAUGGAUUGACUCCUCAAUAAAUCUCUGAUCUUCUCUUCUAGCAUCAUAUACACUCUUCUGAUCAUCUAAAAUGUUACAGUUACACUUGACUGUUUCCAGGUCACUUGACAGGUAGCCAAGCUUUUUCAGUAACUGCUCCACAGCUGAGCUCUGGAAUAAUUUGCCAUUGUAUAUUAAGUCUGUCCCCACGUAUGAUGGUUUAAAAUCACUUCUUAAAACUAAGCAGGUUUAGUUAUAUUACUUUUAUUGUACAUUGUGAUUGUGAUUGUGAUUGUGUUUUGUUUUUGUUUUUUUUGCCCUCAGUGUUGUCUGUUUUAACUUUGAUGUUAUAGAGCACUUUGGCCCACAGCUGUUGUUUUUAAAUGUGCUUCAUAAAUAAAUGUGACUG